rnacentral:rRNA from 1 species
CCUACGGGAGGCAGCAGUGGGGAAUAUUGGACAAUGGGGGAAACCCUGAUCCAGCGACGCCGCGUGAGUGAAGAAGUCUUUCUGUACGUAAAGCUCUAUCAGCCGGAAAGCAAAUGACGGUCCCUGAGUACUAAGCCCCGGCGAACUACGUGCCAGCAGCCGCGGUCAUACGUAGGGGGCAAGCGUUAUCCGGAUUUACUGGGUGUAACGGGAUCGUAGACGGUGCGCCAAGUCUGGAGGGAAAUGCCGCGGCUUAACUGCGGAACUGCUUUGCAAACUGGCGAACUAGAGUGCGGGAGGGGUAAGCGGAAGUCCUAGUGUAGCGGUGAAAUGCGUAGAUAUUAGGAGGAACACCGGUGGCGAAGGCGGCAUACUGGACCGUAACUGACGUUGAGGCUCGAAAGCGUGGGGAGCAAACAGGAUUAGAUACCCUUGUAGUC